AGCUCGUAGUUGAACUUGGGCCUGGCUGGUAGGUCCGCCUCACCGCGUGUACUUGUCCGGCCGGGCCUUCCUUCUGGAGAACCUCAUGCCCUUCACUGGGCGUGUUGGGGACCAGGACUUUUACUUUGAAAAAAUUAGAGUGUUCAAAGCAGGCCUUUGCUCGAAUACGUUAGCAUGGAAUAAUAGAAUAGGACGUGCGGUUCUAUUUUGUUGGUUUCUAGGACCGCCGUAAUGAUUAAUAGGGACAGUCGGGGGCAUCAGUAUUCAAUUGUCAGAGGUGAAAUUCUUGGAUUUAUUGAAGACUAACUACUGCGAAAGCAUUUGCCAAGGAUGUUUUCAUUAAUCAGUGAACGAAAGUUAGGGGAUCGAAGACGAUCAGAUACCGUCGUAGUCUUAACCGUAAACUAUGCCGACUAGGGAUCGGGCGAUGUUCUUUUUUUUGACUCGCUCGGCACCUUACAAGAAAUCAAAGUUUUUGGGUUCUGGGGGGAGUAUGGUCGCAAGGCUGAAACUUAAAGAAAUUGACGGAAGGGCACCACCAGGCGUGGAGCCUGCGGCUUANUUUGACUCAACACGGGGAAACUCACCAGGUCCNGAUGAAAUAAGGAUUGACAGAUUGAGAGCUCUUUCUUGAUUUUUCAGGUGGUGGUGCAUGGCCGUUCUUAGUUGGUGGAGUGAUUUGUCUGCUUAA
rnacentral:rRNA from 1 species